rnacentral:rRNA from 1 species
UACGGAGGGUGCAAGCGUUAUCCGGAAUCACUGGGUUUAAAGGGUGCGUAGGCGGUCUGAUAAGUCAGUUGUGAAAUUCCUCGGCUUAACCGAGUGGACUGCGAUUGAUACUGUCAGACUUGAAUCAGGUUGAGGUAGGCGGAAUGUGACAUGUAGCGGUGAAAUGCUUAGAUAUGUCAUAGAACACCGAUUGCGAAGGCAGCUUGCUGGGCUUAGAUUGACGCUGAGGCACGAAAGCGUGGGGAUCAAACAGG